UAGUUGUAUUAUUAGUUAAUGCAAGAUCGACUACGUCGACUAAAGUUCUAGGUAGAAUAAUGAUGAUGACAAUUUUUUACCUAUAUGUCUUGACCAAGUCUCGUGCCAGCAGUCGCGGUAAUACGUGGAAGACUAGUGUUAUUCAUCUUUAUUAGGUUUAAAGGGUACCUAGACGGUAUUUCUAGCCCAAAAUAGGGUACGGAUUUACUAGAGUUUUAUGUGAGGAGGGGAGUACUCGUGGAGUAGAGAUGAAAUUUUGUUAUACUAUGAGGUAACUGGUGGCGGCGAAAGCAACCUUCUAUGUAUAAACUGACGUUGAGGGACGAAGGCUUGGGUAGCAAAUAGGAUUAGAUACCCUAGUAGUCCAAGCAGACAAUUCUGAAUGCCAUAGAUUAGAUUAUUUUUGGUCUAUAAAUGAAAGUGUAAGCAUUCCACCUUAGGAGUAAUGUGGCAACACAGGAACUGAAAUCAUUAGACCGUUUCUGAAACCAGUAGUGAAGUAUGUUAUUUAAUUUGAUGGUCCACAAAAAACCUUACCACAACUUGAAUAUUUUUUAAUUAAUACAAGCGUUGCACGGCUGU
rnacentral:rRNA from 1 species